CCCUUAGACGUUCUGGGCCGCACGCGCGCUACACUGACCAGUGCAACAAUCAUCCGUCCUUGGCCGACAGGCCCGGGCAAUCUUUGAACGCUGGUCGUGAUGGGGAUAGACUUUUGCAAUUUUUGGUCUUCAACGAGGAAUUCCUAGUAAACGCAAGUCAUCAACUUGCAUUGAUUACGUCCCUGCCCUUUGUACACACCGCCCGUCGCACCUACCGAUUGAAUGGUCCGGUGAAGCCUCCGGAUUGGCGCGCACCUCGGUGCCGCCGAGAAGUUGGCUAAACCUUACCAUUUAGAGGAAGGUGAAGUCGUAACA
rnacentral:rRNA from 1 species